rnacentral:rRNA from 1 species
UACGUAGGGUGCGAGCGUUGUCCGGAAUUACUGGGCGUAAAGCGCACGUAGGCGGACAUUUAAGUCAGGGGUGAAAUCCCAGAGCUCAACUCUGGAACUGCCUUUGAUACUGGGUGUCUUGAGUAUGGAAGAGGUGAGUGGAAUUCCGAGUGUAGAGGUGAAAUUCGUAGAUAUUCGGAGGAACACCAGUGGCGAAGGCGGCUCACUGGUCCAUUACUGACGCUGAGGUGCGAAAGCGUGGGGAGCAAACAGG